AAUGGACGCAAGUCUGACCCAGCCAUGCCGCGUGCAGGAUGACGGCCCUAUGGGUUGUAAACUGCUUUUGUACGGGAAAAAACCCCCAGUCGUGUAUUGGGGCUGAUGGUACCGUAAGAAUAAGCAUCGGCUAACUCCGUGCCAGCAGCCGCGGUAAUACGGAGGAUGCAAGCGUUAUCCGGAUUCAUUGGGUUUAAAGGGUCCGCAGGCGGAACUGUAAGUCAGGGGUGAAAUCCUACGGCUCAACCGUAGAACUGCCCUUGAUACUGCUGUUCUAGAGUACAGUUGAGGUGGGCGGAAUGUGUCAUGUAGCGGUGAAAUGCAUAGAUAUGACACAGAACACCGAUCGCGAAGGCAGCUCACCAAGCUGUAACUGACGCUCAGGGACGAAAGCGUGGGGAUCAAA
rnacentral:rRNA from 1 species